rnacentral:rRNA from 1 species
UGAGGAAUUUUGCGCAAUGGGAGCAAUCCUGACGCAGCAACGCCGCGUGGGUGAUGAAGGCCUUCGGGUCGUAAAGCCCUGUCAGGUGGGAAGAAUGUCCCGGGACUGAACAGGUUUUGGGAGUGACGGUACCACCAGAGGAAGCACCGGCUAACUCCGUGCCCGCAGCCGCGGUAAUACGGAGGGUGCAAGCGUUAUUCGGAAUUACUGGGCGUAAAGCGCGUGUAGGCGGUCCUGCAAGUCUGAUGUGAAAUCCCCGGGCUUAACCCGUGAAGUGCAUUGGAAACUGUGGGACUUGAGUACUGGAGAGGAUGGGGGAAUUGCCGGUGUAGAGGUGAAAUUCGUAGAGAUCGGGAGGAAUAUCAGUGGCGAAGGCGCCCAUCUGGACGGUAACUGACGCUGAGACGCGAAAGCGUGGGGAGCAAACA